UACGUAGGGGGCUAGCGUUGUCCGGAUUCAUUGGGCGUAAAGAGCUCGUAGGCGGUUCAGUAAGUCGGGUGUGAAACCUCCAGGCUCAACCUGGAGACGCCACCCGAUACUGCUGUGACUAGAGUCCAGUAGGGGAGCGUGGAAUUCCUGGUGUAGCGGUGAAAUGCGCAGAUAUCAGGAGGAACACCAGCGGCGAAGGCGACUACCUGGCCUGUUCUUGACGCUGAGGCGCGAAAGCUAGGGGGAGCAAACGGG
rnacentral:rRNA from 1 species